GGAUUUUUUUUUGUAAGAAAUGGGGCACCAGGCCUAGGACCAAUUAAUAUUAGGACAACAACCGCCACUUUAAAAGGACCAUUCUUCUUUUUACGAAAGGGGAAGCCGCUAUACUAUUUUGGCUUUUGAACGUUUUUAAGGGGAGCUUUCAAAAUGUUAUUGAUGUGGUUGCAUUUUGAUGAAUGAAAAAAAAAGCACACUCUCUUCUCCGUUUUCAUUUAUGCAAGGCUGAAACAUUUUUUUCUUUUGAGUUUCUCAUUGAAUGAAAAAGGUUUAGCAUAGCAAUGUCUUGAGGGGAGAGCUUCCAAUACGUUACAACAUUUGAGGAAUUUUUUCCUUUUCCUUACCUUGAAGAAGCACGUUGGUUUAUAAAGGGGGCACACGCUGUUGUUACAACCUGCACCAAUGUGACGUUUUGCUUUGGUUGGUGCAUUGAUUUGAUUGAUUCAUUUGGCAAAGAGAAAAAGGCUGAAGGGUGCAGAGGUGGAACUGCUGACCAGUUGCAGCUUGCCCAUCGGAGGAAAUGGAGGCAAACCCUAAAAGGUUUGGGAGCUUGAUUUGAUGAAGGUUUUUACAUCUACACCCCUAUCCUUACUUAGUUGUUUUUUAUCCUCUUAAUAUUUGUGUAAUUAAUUAGCUGUUUCGUUUUUUUCAUUUUUAUUUUCUUUACUCUUUUAAAAUUUGUUUGGCUAUUAUAAUAAUUUUCUUGUGUUUUGUAUUUUAUUUUUAUUAAUUAUUUCGUUUAUAUUAAACUUUAAUUUUAUUUGUUAAUAAAAGCGGUGUAACAAACAUAAAAACUAAAAGAUAAAAAAAGAAAACGGCACAUAAAAAAAGUGGUGUCAGGUCUUCUUAAUAGUAACAUUUUCUUAAGCAUCUGUUUUCUAAAAAAAUAUAGGUUAAAACCCUCAUUUGGUCCUCAUAUUUGUAUGGCAAUCUCAAUUUGGUCAUCAUAUUUUUUUUUGUCUCAAUCGGGUCCUAAUAUUUGUAAAAACGAGUCAAUUAAGCCCUCUCCGUUAAAUAAUCAGUAACGUCGUCUGUUAGUGAUGAGUUGUAAUUUUUUUUAGCUGUCGUGUCAAUAUGUAUUAAAUUAGAUGGGGUUGGUUGUAUAAUGAAACAUUCCACGUGUCAAACAACUUUUUUAUCAUCUGAUCAGCUUUCAGAUUCCCACUCACAGCCACCUCCAAGAUCAGAUCAAACACCUUCUGAAAAUCAGUGUUCCAGCCCGCAUCCAUGUUCAUCACAAACUCCUUCUCCGACUUGAGAUCAUCCCCUUUAAUCAAAUGAAGUUGAAGAUCAGCACAAAAAGUCACAACCUUCCCCUUCCAAGGCUCCUCACACAACUUAGACACCAACAACCCCAAUGCCACACACACCUCCAUGGGCAACCCCUCCAUACUCCCAGACACAUCACAAACAGCCAAACAACUCUUCAUCGUCCCUUUCUUCUUCAAAUCAUCAACCGCCCUCUUCCACUGCAAUUCAACCACAUCCCCACAAUCCCCAUUAUCCAAUGACCUUAUGAUCUGAUGGGGAAGCAAAGCACCAGCAACAAUAGUACUUUUCCCUGACUUCACAUCCUCCAAGUAAGCCUCAAACCUCUCCUUAUCAUGCUUCAAAAACUUAUCAGUGAGGGAGGGAAUGUUAGCAGCGAGGGUUUUGGGGUGGUGGUGAUGGAGCCAGAUCGUCGUGCUGUAGAUGUUCCGGCAGUCGGACUUGCCGGUACCGUAGAUUCCACGGAGGUUGCAGACGAGUUUUAGGGCGGUGAGGGAGUUGUGGGCCACGCAAGUUGGGGUCUUUGAAGGAGGGUCGCUGGUGGAGUGUCGUCGUGAACCUUCUCAUCCAAGCCUACGCGCAGGCCAGGCUAACGGAGUCGCGUUCCACGUUUGCCGUUACGCGGAGGAGCACGAAGUCUCCGUUACUGUCGUCAGUUUUAACGCCUUGCUUGGGGAUUUGGAUUCGGCGUGGGCAUUGUUUGGGGAGAUGGUGAGAAAAGGCUUUUACAUUGUUUACACGUCCUUUGUUGCAGCGUUUUGUAGAGAAACCCCACAGUUGAGGAGGCUAUUGGUUUGGUUCGUGAAAUGGAAGGGAAGGGGCUGAGGCCAUACGGAUUUCUGCACAUUGGGUUUUUAAUUUCAAGGGUUUUCUACUUCCCUUCGUUUUUUUGAUUUAGGAUGCAAGCUUCCUUUCCCCUUUAUUUUUCUCUGAUUCUUUAUUGGGUUCUAUUUGGAUUUUCUGUUCCAGUAUUGUGGUCUUGAAAUUGGGAUUUAUGGGAUAUUCAUUGGAUUUUCUAUGCAGGUUUUUUAUCAUUGGAGUUGUAUUGGGAUUUUGAUUCUGUGUUCGUAUUUGUUAGCUUGAAUUCGUGAGUUUGCUUUUUUUGGAUUUAAUUUCGUGUCUGGAUCAUUAGAUUGUAGUUGGACUGUGGUGGUUGUUGUUGGUGGUGCCGGUGGAGCAGUGACAAGAGAGGACGUAGAGGGGGAGAGAGGAGAAGAACUCUGUUUACUACUAACAACAUAAGACGUUUGCCACGUGGAAUACUUCAUUAUACAACUAAUACCUAUCUAAAUUAAUAUAUAUUGCCACGACAGCUAAAACAAAUCACAACUCAUCACACGUAAACGGCGUUACUGAUUAUUUAACGGAGAGGGCUUAAUUGGCUCGUUUUUACAAAUAUUAGGACCCGAUUGAGACAAAAAAAAAUAUGAUGACCAAAUUGAGAUUGCCAUACAAAUAUGAGGACCAAAUGAGGGUUUUAACCAAAAAUAUAAGAUUAUAAAAUUAAAAAAAUAGUUUUUAUUAUUUCUUUGAUAGUUAACAUCUUUUUAAUAACAUGUUUUGUUUUUUAACUUAGUUUUAUUUAGAUUUCUCUUAUUUUAUUUUGAAAUACUUGUAAUUAUUAUAGCCAUGUAUUAUAAUUUAAGUAUUUUUAUUCUCAUAGAAUAAAAAUUACAAAAUUAAAAUAAUACAAAUACAUUUUAAAAUGUUAAAGCACACGUGCGACGGUUCGUGUAGGUCUUGUGUUAAAAACUUUUUUUUCUUUUUUUUCAUACAAAUAAUAAAAAUACAUUUUAAAAAGUUAAAGCAUACGUACGACCGUUCGCAUAGGCCUUGUGCUAAAACCUUUUUUCCCUUCUUUUACAAAAAUAUAAUAAAAAUAUCUUUUAAAAGGUUAAAGCACACGUGCGACCGUUCGCGUAGGGCUUGUGCUAAAAACCUUUUUCCUUUCUUUUACAAAAAAAAUUAUAAAAAUAUCUUUUAAAAGGUUAAAGCACAGGUGCGACCGUUCGUGUAAGGCUUGUGCUAAAAACCUUUUUCCCUUCUUUUAUAAAAAAAUAAUAAAAAUAUCUUUUAAAAGGUUAAAGCACACGUGUGACCGUUCGCGUAAGCCUUGUGCUAAAAACCUUUUUCCCUUCUUUUACAAAAAAUAUAAAAAAAUGUUUUAAAGGUUUAAGUGGGUGGGUGAUCGCUUGGAUCGUCCUCGUGCUAAGACCUUUUCUUCUUUUAUAAAAAAUAUCAAAAAAUGUUUUAAAGGUUUAGGCGCGUGUGUGAUCGCUCGCAUCAUCCUCGUGCUGAGAUCUUUUCUCUUUUAUAAGAAAAAAAAAUAAAAAAUGUUUUAAAGGUUUGAGCACGUGUGUGAUCGUUCGCAUCAUCCUCGUGCUAAAACCUUUUCCUCUUUAAAAACAAAAAGUUUUAAAGGUUUAAGCGCGUGUGUCAUCGUUCGCAUCGUCCUCGUGCUGAGACCUUUUCUUUUUCUCACAUAAAAAUAACAAAAACAUAAAACAUCCAUGAUUUCAAACAAACAAACAAUUUUUUAGCUAGAACUCCGUAACCCUGAUUUCUCAUAUUGAGAAUACGUAGGAGCAAGGUCAAUGCUUGUCGGGCACAAAAAAAAAAACAAAAAAAAUAUAUUUUGUUUCUUUAUAACGUCUUUUUUGGGGAUAGUUAAACCUUUUGAAAACCACAUCAAAAUCGCAUAUUUAAUUAAAGGUACUGCCUUCGGGCAGGCGUUGUAGGGUGCUAAUAGCUUCCCUACACGUAACCGACUCCCGAACCCAAUCUUUGGUUUUCGUCGACCGUGCUUUAUCAUUUUAUGGUUUUUCCGUAGUUUUCCAGAAUAAACUAUGGUGGCGACUCCAAAAUCUCUUUUCCAAACCCAAUUCUUUUUUGGAUCUUUGUUCCGUCGCGACACCGGUUGCGACAUAGAUAUAAGCUCAGUGAAUGUGCAUUCAUAUAUCAAGAUCAACACAAACAUGUUCAAUAAGAUAUCAUCCACAAUAAGGAAUAGAACAUAUAACACAAAACAAUACAUGUGUUAUUAAUAAUGUGUUGUCAUCAUAAAAAACCAGAGUGACUAAAGCACUGUGAGAUUAAGGUUAGCUAAACUAGUGCUUCCCUUAUCAACAAUCUCAAAAUAUCCCCCUUUUUUGAUGGUGCACAACCAUGAUUAACAAGCAACCGUGUUUGUACUCAAACAACUCAUAAACAUUUAAUUAAUCACUAGAAAUCAGAGCAAAUAUAAUCAAUCAGUAGAUACAAGUGAUUAAAUGAUCUUUUUAGUCUAUUAGAGCAUAUUCCAGUAAAUCAGAGCAAACAAAAGAUCAUUUCAGACAUAUUUCAACUCAAUUACUUUGAAUGAAAAAUAUCAAGCAAACGAUCACAUAUCAAGCAAAAUAAGUAGAUUAAUCUAGCUUUUCACACAUUUCUCUCCCUUUGUGCAUUAGCAAAAAAGGUUUGCUUUCAGAUAUGGAUAUAUUGAUAACAUGAAAUACAAGAGAUGCAUCAGAAUAAAGCAAUGUAAACAGAUUAAAUAUGCAAUGAUGCUCCCCCUAUCACAAAUAUUCACAUGAAUAUGUAAACUCCGCCUAGAAUAUAGGCAUGUGAAAAAUCUAUGCAAUCAAGUAAUGCUCCCCCUGUCAUUAUGCAUACAACAAAAUCAGAUUUAGAUGCACAAUGUAGUCACACAGAUAUCAGAGCAUAUAAUCAGUUCGUAUCAAGAUUGUAUCAGAGAUAUGAUUGUAAGCAAUUCAAUUAAGCAAAGAUACAACUAUCAACAAUCUCACAAUAUAAUCUCAUUGCAAAACAGUCAUAUAAGAACAAAGAUAUAUUGAAGAAAAUUGAUAUAAAAUGAUCAAGCAACUUAAUAAGCAAAUUCCAAAUAAUGGAAUUUAUAACCCCCUUUAAUUGAUAAGUCGAUUGAUCCAAUAACUAAGUCGAUUUCAUUGCUUUCCAGACAGAUAUGAUUCCAGCAGUAAGUUCCAAAGCAAUGUUUCCUGCAAAACCUUUCAAAGUCUUUUGAAGACCAAGCAUUUUAGAAUCAUAGUAAUGCAAGAAAUUUAACAGAUAAGAAGUGAGUAUGCAACACAGUUAAUGCAACAGUAAGUAUGUGCAUAGUCAACUUCAAUGAUCACUCAGUCGAUUCAAUAUUAAUCCAAAACAGAUUCAAUCAAGCAGUUUAAAACAAAUGAAUUUGAAUCAAAAAAAUUAAUUUCAUUUCUUGUUCAAAAGGGUAUUACAAUUGAUAGACCAAAACAAGAACAAGAUAUAAUGGCAACACUAAGCCAUUAACAAAAGAAAAAACAACACUAAGAACAAUCUAAGUAAGCAUAUAACAAAGACAGAAACAAAGGACUCAAGACCACAAAAUGAAGCGUAUUGUUAUUCCUUUCCUUCUCCAACUAAAUUCAUAAAUUCAUCCUCUGAUGUGUCUUUACUCUUCUUAAGUUGCGAAAUGAGAUUAACCUUUGUCUUAAGCUGAUCGAGCUUGUCAAUAAUUAAUUGAAAUGGAUUAGCAGAAAAAAAUCUCACAAUUGUUGUUGGAGACAUGAUUAGAUUCUAGUCCACAUUUAGUAGAGGUGCUUCCAAAACGACACAUUUGAUUUUCUUCAUCUUUAAAGCAUCAUCCUUUCUCAGUCCAAACUAGCCUAAAUGACACAAGGGUGUUAAGAUUUAUAACAUUUUUAUAGGUGCAAGAACGUUUUUAUUCUCCAUAGGUAUUCACCCCUUGAAGAACAAGUAUAUUGCUUAUGAGGACAACGUGAGGCAAGUAGUGAGGGUUGCUACGAGAAACUUUGGUUAUGUGAUCCUUUAACACUUCCACCCAGUUGGUGGGUAUAUUAUUCUUGAUAGCAUGCAGAAGAAACACAUCCUCGGUGGUAAUUUCAUCUUGCAUCUAUCUUCCCGGAAGAAUCACCCAUGUCAGCAUGUGUGCAAGGACCAUUUCUUCAAUUCUGAGAUCUUCAUGUAGAAAAAUGUUUUCUCUUGUUUGACUUACAGGAAGUCUGAGCCACCCUCUAUGGAGAUCCUUUUCGUUUAACCAAUGAUUUAUUUGAGUGUUGGGUAGACGAGUUCAGCCUUCAACCUAGUGGUCUGCUGCCAGACAUCAUUAUUGAUAAAAAUGUUAGUACCUUUAACUCUUGAGCAGAUGUCACCAUUAACAAUCUUUAAGUGAUGAUAGAACACUCUAACAAGAUUAGGGUACCAUUCACCAUUCAUUUGCACCAAAGUCGACAAAUUUUAAGUCUCAAUCCAUUCAGGAAAUUUAAAGUUUUCCCUUCCAAAUAAUCUCAAGUCAAGAUACCUUGGUGAGACAACAACUUUAGGACACCCAUCAAUAAAUCUCACUCGAGAGUCAUCAUCGCUUAUCCAGCCAUUCACAUUAGCUUCUCUAACAGUUGCGAUGCAGUUUGCUUUCCCUUUUCUUGAGAGAUGAGGUGAAGAGGCCAUUUCUAGAGACACUCAGGAUGCACAAAAUUCAGUCAAGGAUCAUUGGAAAUACACAAAUAGUAUGUGCGCUAGUGUCAGAAAUAAAGUACACCUCAGACAGGACGGACAAAUAUGGAGCAAGAGACCAAACCUAGAAAUGACCUAUUUUAAAUUUUUAAAUUUUGUAAGGCCCAAAGCAGAAUCAUUCAGCCUAUUUUGAUAAAAACUAAGUUGACUAUGUAUGACAUGAGAUUUCAAAAUAGGGUACAUACAUACAGAGACACAAAAUCGACUAGGCUCAUAAUUGAGUCGACUAAAAGUCGUGAAAAUUAUUUUUCAUGCAAAACAUUUAACUAAUCAGUCAUACAAUCAACAAACAAUCAAUUAUCAAACAAUCAAUCUAUUUAUGCACGAUGCAGUAAGCUAAUACAUGUUACUAGUUGCAGAUACUCAAGAUGUUUGAUAUAGCCAUUGUAGUUUGUCCUUGAGUCCUCACUGCACCUGUUUGAAAUUCCUACAAAAUAGUUUAAGUUUUUGUUGUGGGUACCCAUUUGAACUUAGGUCCUUGAUUGUUAGUUGAGGCCAGAUGUUCCUUAGGAAUCCACACAUAUAAACCUUUAGGAAAUCCAACUCUUCUGUAGUAACAGUUUCUAACAGUGUACCCAACACAAUUACAAUAAAAGCAAGCAUGUUUGAUAGGUUUGCUUAAAUAUGAAAGUUUUCUUGUAUUGGACCUAUUAGAAUUAGCUUUAAAACCAAUGCCUUGUCUAUUAAUAGCUUUGUCAGUAUAUUUCAAUACAACAUUCAAAUCUUCUCUACCCUGAGUAAAUUUGGCUAGCGUGCUAGUCAAGUAAUCUAUUUGUUUCAUAUGAGCAAGGCAUUUAUCACAUUGUUUUUUAUUGUAACAGUUUCAAUUUUAACUUCUUUAGCAGACAAUAAGGCUUCAUCUAAUUGUUUCUGUAAUUUUUCAUUAUCAGUGACAAGAUUAUUAAUUAUAUAUUCAUAAUCUUUCCUAUCAGAGUUAAGUCGAUUAAUCUUGUACUGGAGUCACAUAGCUUCAACAUGAAUUUCCUUGAAUGCAUCCAGCUGUAGGUCAUAUUUGACUUCAAUCGGUUCUUGCUCGAACUCUGUGUCACUGUCAUAGUCAGUCAAUGAUGCUCUAGCCAUAUAGCAGAUGUUUAACUCUUGAUCAUGACCUUCAUCACUUGAAGAGUCCGAAUCACUGUUUUCCCAAGCAAUAUAAGCUCCUUUUUGCUUCUUGCUUUUGUCUUGAGGAAACCUUCUGUUAAUCUUCUACUUUGGCUUCAGGUUUGGACAAUCUGGUUUGAUAUGUCCCUCUUUUCCACAUUCAUAGCAUUGGACAACACUUGACGUGUGAGCUUUCUUGACUUUGUUGUGACCUGUAUGGUUAGUAAGUUGACUGUUAUUUUUCAUAAGUCGAGUAAAUUUUCUUACCACCAUGGUCUUCAAUUCAUUGUUGUCCAUCUCUGCAUCUGAUUCUUCCUCUGACUUUGAGGCUUUCUUGUUUGUUGCUUUCAAUGCAAUGGACUUCUUCUCUUCAAUCUCUUCUUCGUCCUUCAACCUUCCAAGUUCUAACUAAUGUUCUCUUACUUGUCGAACAAGGUAGCCAUAUUCAUGCUUCUAAGAUCUUUGGACUCAAAGAUUGUUGUGACUUUGGGUUGCCAGCAUCUGUUCAGACUUUUCAAAAUCUUGAUAAUGAUCUCUUCCUUGUCAAAGACUUUGCCAAGAGGCAUAAGGUGAUUUACAAUGUGUGUGAACCUUUUUUGGACUUCAUAGAUUGUUUCACCAGCCUUUAUCCUAAAAAGUUCAUACUCUUGAAUCAAAGAAUUUUUCCUUGCUCUCUUGACUUCAUUAGUGCCUUCAUGAGUGACUUCCAAGACAUCCCGCAUCUCCUUGGUAGAUUUGCAUUGAGAUAUCCUAAAAAAUUCAUCAACAAUUAGUGUAGAGGCAAUGAUAUUUCAAGCUUAGACAUCAUAUUGUGCUCUCUUAUUCUCUUCUUGAGACAACUCAAAAAAAAUUUUCAAAACAGUUUUUCCAACAAUAAUAUGAGUAGGCUCAAAAGGACCAUUCAAAGUUGCAUCCCAAAUUCCUCUAUCCACGGAUUCAAGAAAGAUUUGCAUUCAAAUUUUUCAGAAAGGAUAAUUUUCACCAGCAAACAGAGGUGGUUGGUUUGUAAAUGCACCUUAACCAAAAGUUUGAAAACUGGAAGUCAUCCCCAGGUAUAUAGUCGAUUCAAGGAAAAACGAAGUCAACUAGUUUUUCAAAUAUUUUAUGAAAACCAGCUCUGGUGCCAAUUGUUGGAAAAAGGUUGGCUUCGUUUCAACACCAACAGGUAGGGUGAAUUGGUGAGGUUUCAAAAUCAGAUUCUUUUUUAAAUCUUUUUCUCAAAGUAAAAACCUUUACAAAGUUUCUUGAAUCACAAGGAAUGAAAAUUCUAAGUGCAGCAGAAAAAUAAAGUUGACUACGUAAACAAGUAAGUCGACAGAAUGUAAAAGUUUAAGGAUAGAGAAAUCAAACGUAGGUUUUUAUAUUGGUUCGACAUCAAUGCUUACAUCCAGUGUCCUUCCAUAAUCCAAAAGCAAAUACACUACAGUGGUUAAGGUUUUUACAACAAGGCUUUUAUAGAGACCUCCACGUAAAAAAUAUAAAAGACCUCUCUAACCCUCUAACCAAAAUAUAGGCAGUACACACAAAGAUCUGCAACAAGAUAUCCCCUCUUCUGCAAUCUUCAAACCCACUUUGAACAAUCCUCAAAGUGUACAAAAUCCAUGAGUCAACCUCCUAUAAUCACAACAGGAAAAACCAAUCUUUAGUAGAUUGAAGGCAGUCUUGAUCAACAAGAAUACACCAGCUGUGCAGAAUUUGAUCAAACAGUAAGCACAAUAUAGUCUCCUUCAAAGAACCUCCUCAAAGAUAAAUCAUCACGGUCUUCUUGAUGAGUUCUCUGAGCAAAUUUUCAGAGAUCACAAUCUGUAAAUCAAAAUAAGAGUGUUAAAAUUUCCAAAGUCUCAUGUGAUCAACUAAGGUACGUCUAUUUAUAGUUUUCUAUAAAUCAGUCAAUCUUGUAGUCGACUAAACUACUGAUCAAGUCGACUGUCCUCAAACAAUUAUAACAGUUAAGUCAAAUAGUAGCAGUCAACAAUAACCAAAUUGAUUUUGCAAUUAAUACAGUUGACUAUCAUAAAUGUUUUAACUAACUUUUGAAAUAUAGUUGUUACUGUACACAAGCAUAACUGAAUUUCAAAUCAAACAAUUAACUAAGUCGGAUCCACUGCACAUGUAGUCAACUUAGGCACAUCAGCUCAGUUUGAAAAACUUUUCAAUGCAAAAUCACUCACAACACUGCUUUUGAAAAUUUGUGCAUAGACACGAGUUUUAAAUUCGACUUAAAACUUGCAGUUAUGCCACACAAUGUAAGUUGUGCAUGUGGUUUUCUCUUUAUAACAUAUGUAAUGCAAUCAUAAAUGAUGUAUGAGAUAUAAGCUCAAUGAUUGUGCAUUCGUAUAUCAAUAUCAACACAAACAUGUUCAAUAAGAUAUCAUCCACAAUAAGGAAUAGAGCAUGUAACACAAAACAAUACAUGUGUUAUUAAUAAUGUGCUGUUAUCAUAAAAAACUGGGCGCCUAAGUGGCGCGCUGAACGCUCGCGACUGGCUUGGGCUGUGUUUUCUGUUUUUAUUUUGAUCUAUUUAAGGACUUGGACGUCCUAGGCAUUGUAUCUUUAAACAUAAGAGGCGUAGAAACAUAAUCUUUCACUCCUUGAAGGUGAAUUUGGAUGCAAAAGCCUCCGUCUUCAACUUUUAGGGUUUUUCUAUCUCAUUUUUUCCAUUAUUCAUCUAGUUUCUCCAUGAUAAUGGGGAACUAAAUUCCAUUUUUUAUUAGGGAAAAGAUGUAAUCCUUUGAAACUCUCAUGUAUUUGAAUUUAUUUAUAUUACAAAUGCUUCUUUCAUUAAUUGUUAGGGUUUUUCCUUUAUACUCCAUGCAUUGCUUUGUUUAACUCAUUCAUAGCAUGAUAAUUGAUUUCGUUGAUAUGGACACAUACGAGGCAAUCUAGAUCUGAGGAAUCUCUCCCAAAAGUAGUAUUACCUAGGGAUGGGGAUACGAGUUUUGGUUGGCUUAAGCUUCUGUGCAUAUGCAGAAUUGAUUGCUAGGGAGACAAGACAUUGUAAACUAGUAAUUAAGGAUAGGCUUUCUUCGCCGAGACAUCGGGUUUUAAGUAAAUUAGAAAGUGGCAUUAACAUUAAUGAAGAAGACGAAUUCUUAUAUGCAUGAGAGUGGAUAGGAGAAAUCUAAGCCAAAACAACAUAUUCAUUCCAUAUUUUAUAAACAAUCCACCUUCACAUUUUCUUGUCAAUUGAUCAAAAUUGCAUUCAUGUUUAAUUUUUGCAUUAUAAACCAAAUGAUUUUGUUCUCAAGUCUUAUUUAAUCAAGAAAUCAAAUAACUGUUUAGGCCGUGAGUCUCUAGGGAAAUAAUACUUGGUCUUACCAUUUAAUAUUACAUGAUACGAUUCGGUACACUUGUCGAUGUCUUAACAACCGUCAAGUUGGACACAACAAAAAUCAAUGUACCUUACCUUCUGACAUCACAAAACCAUCAUAGCCAUAAACUACUCAAUCCCAUGUACCAUCACAGCCACUAAGUACCAAAUCUCCUCUACCAUCAUAACCAUCAAUUACCUAAUCCUCUCUACCAUCACAACCACUGAUAAAUAUGGUCUUGAUGUCAUUCUAUAGAUUUGUAAGAUUUGAAUCACGGCGAUGGAACGAGGACGCUGGAAAUUAGUGAAUCAUCGACAGCGGAAGCUACUCCAGAGGUGUUCUCUGAUUCAGAUGCGCAAAAACAGAUCAACGGAGGUAGUUGAUAUCGGGCAGUGGAGGAAGGUGGAUGCAUGGUUAUUGGGAGUGGAGGUUGUGCUUAUGAAGUGGCUACAACUCAGGCAGCCUUCCAUACAAGGAAGGAAGUUGCAAAGAAGAAGAUAAGCAAGGAGGGGCUUUCGGUGAAGAGAAUCUGGUAAUUCAUUCCAGCAGAGUUUCUCCUAUAUCAACCAAAAGUGUCUACAAAAAGGUGCAAUGGUGGAUUUUAUAGAAAAUCCACUCGGUUGUGUGUGAUGCAGAUGGAUUCCGUGAUAACUGGAUCACCAUCCACGUGGCCUAGCAUGGAAAGCAUGACCUGUUCUUCUAGAAAAAUACAUGUGCCAAUCAUUUUAAAUGUGCUGAAAAUUAAAUGUACAUUGUCGUAGCUCAGCGUGAUGAAGGGUUUGUUGAGCGCUGCCAACUUUCCUUGUUCCCUUUCAUCCAUCCCUCUCCUUGAUCUGGUCUGACUCUUUUUGAUUCAGCUGAGUUGAUGUAAGGUCUCCACUCGAAGUGUGUAAAUAAUUCCUGUCCCUCUGUGCCAAGUUCCUCCAAUUCUUGUUGUAGUUUCCUGACCAUACUUUGAGUGAUAGGUCCAUGACUGAUCUUAAGCCCCAAGUCAUCAUCUCCUCCCCCUUGAAGAGGAUUUGUCCUCAAAUCCAAGUUGUCAUCUCCUGAAAAAGGAUGAAAGUCAGAGACAUUAAAAGUUGUAUGCACACCAUACUUAAGAGGAAGGUCUAACUGAUAAGCAUUAUUAUUAACCUUCCUAAGGAUCUUAAAAGGACCAUCUCCUCUAGGACUUAGUUUGGACUUCCUAAGGAUAGGAAAUCGUUCUUUUCGAAGGUUAAGCCAAACUAAGUCGCCUUCAUUGAAGAUCAUUUCCUUUUUACCCUUAUUGUUGUACUUAGCAUAUCUCUCACUUUGUUGUUGUAUUUGAUUACUAAUCCUCUUAUGGAAAUCUUUUAUAAACUUGGAUUUAGAUAUUCCCUCAUGAUGAACAAAGUCAUGUGAAGAAGGUACGGGAAUUAAAUCCAUAGAUGUUAAAGGAUUAAAACCAUAUACAGCCUCAAAAGGAGAGAUGUUAGUAGUUCUAUGAACUACUCUGUUGUAAGCAAACUCCACAUGUGGAAGAUACUCAUCCCAAGAUUUGUGGUUGCCUUUGAGAACUACUCUCAACAAAGUGGAUAGAGACUAUUUACUACUUCAGUUUGACCAUCUGCUUGUGGAUGGGAAGUAGUAGAAAAGGAAAGCUUAGUCCCUAAUCGAGACCAUAAGGUUCUCCAAAAGUGAUUAAGAAAUUUUGUAUCUCUAUCAGAAAUGAUGACUCGAGGUAGUCCAUGAAGUCUAACCACAUCUCUAAAGAAUAGCCUAGCCACAUUACUUGCAUCAUCUAUCUUGUGGCAUGGUAUAAAAUGGGCCAUUUUGAUGAAACGAUCCACUACCACAAAGAUAGAGUCGAAACCCUUAGAAGUUUUUGGUAGUCCUAAGACAAAAUCCAUGCUAAUAUCUUCCCUAGGAGUUGAAGCAAUGGGUAAAGGAGUAUAAAGACCAUGAGUCAUUGUUCUAGAUUUUGACUCUAAACAAGUAAUGCACUUGUAACAAUGCCUUUGGACAUAUCGUCUUAUGUGGGGCCAAAAGAAUUUUUCUUUUAGCAUGCUUAGGGUUUUAUCUACCCCAAAGUGUCGCAUCAAACCUCCCUCAUGCAUCUCUUUGACAAGGAGUUUUCUUUGUGAGCCUUGGGGUUUGAAAAGAUGGACCCCAUGUUUAUUCACUACAAAUCUAAAAAAAUGACACUAUCAACAAAAAGGUGCAUUUAUCAAGAUUUGCAAACAAGUGAUUAGUUCUAAGACUUGUUAAAACAACUCUUAAAUAUUUUUCAUGAUUUUGCAAAUCUUGACUAUAUACCAAUAUGUCAUCAAAAUAAACAACUACAAACUUCCCAAUGCAAUCCCUCAAGACAUGGUUCAUAAGUCUCAUGAAUGUACUUGGAGCAUUUGUAAGACCAAAAGGCAUCACUAGCCACUCAUAUAACCCAAACUUAGUCUUAAAAGCAGUUUUCCAUUCAUCACCCUCUUUGAUCCUAAUUUGGUGAUAUCCGCUUUUAAGAUCUAUUUUUGAGAAAAUUUGAGCCCCAUGUAAUUCAUCCAACAUAUAAUCAAGUCUAGGGAUGAGAUGUCUAUACUUUAUUGUGAUGUUGUUGAUAGCCCUACAAUCACAACACAUUCGCCAUUUGCCAUCUUUUUUAGGCACCAGCAACACAGGCACAGCACAUGGGCUUAAGCUCUUUUGAACCUAACCCUUAUCUAACAAGUCUUGGACUUGUGACUCAAUCUCUUUAGUCUCUUGGGGAUUAGUCCUAUAGGCAGGCCUAUUAGGAAGAGUUGCCCCUGGGACAAAGUCAAUUUGAUGUUCUAUUCCCCUUAAUGGUGGAAGUUCAAUUAGAAUCUCUUUGAGAAAUAGAUCACCAAAUUCUUUCAGAAGAUUUUGUAUUGAAAGAGAAAGAGUGGAAGUUUUAGACUCACUAGAUGUGCAUGUGAGUGUUCCUUGACAAAGAAGGAGGUAUGAAGGUUGCUCAACUUGAAGAGUAUUUUCUAAAGUCUUUUUAUUUAAAAGAACUUCAGGUUGAGUACCUUGGUGGGAGAGAACACCACUCUCCCACACCUCUUUUUCAUCCCUAAGGACUACUAUUUUCUCUCUUUUUUUUUUCUUUUUCUUGUUCUCUAUUAAACUUCAUUUGUGCUUGAGCUUUCGCCACCUAGGCAGGUGUCAAAGGAUGAAGCACAAAUUUCUUGUCUCCUUUGUGCACAGUUAUGGUAUUGGUAAGACCAUGGUGUAUAGUGUCAUGAUCAAAUUGCCAUGGUCUUCCCAAUAACAUAUGACAAGCUUUCGUGGGAACUAUAUCGCAAACAACUUCAUCUUUAAAGUUCCCUAUGGAAAUUGCCAAUUUGGUUUGAUUCUUGACAGUUAUAUCCCCAUCUUCAUUUAGCCAAUGAAGUUUGUAAGGUUUUGGAUGAGGUAUUACUCCAAGAUUCAAUUUUUCAACUAGCAUUGUGCUACAACAAUUGCAGCAAGAACCACUAUCAAUAAUGAGAGAACAAUAUUUGUCUUGAAAUUUACAUCUUGUGUGAAAGAUGUCCUCUCUUGGUGAUAAGUGUUCUAUGCUAGGUUGACUAUUAAACACCCUUCUCAUCAUGAGAAGUUGACAAUCAUCAGCAAAUACUUCCUCUUCUUUUUCUUGCUCACUCUCACUCUCACUGGUGGGUGAUUCACUUUCACUGCUAUAGAUGUCACUACCUUUAAGAAUGAUGGUUCUUUUGGUAGGACAUUGGGUAGCUACAUGACCCCUACCCAAACAUUUAAAAAAUUUGAUAUCACUUGUGCGAGUGUGUGAAGAGGAUUCUUGCUUGGGAUUUUCAUUGAUUUUGGCUAGAGGUUUAAAAGGCUCUUUUUCUUUGAAAGUUUUCUUUUCGAAGGUAGGGUGAACUUGAACUCUUUUUGAAGAAGACUUUCUCAAGUUUUGUUGUUCUACCUUUAUACACAUUUGAACAAGAUCAUUCAAAUUUCUAUAAGGUAGUAGUUCGACCCUAUCUCGAAUAUCCAAAUUAAGCCCACUUAAAAAUCUAGCCAAAGUAAUUUCUGAAGCCUCUACUAUCCCUGCCCUCAUCAUCUAAACCUCCAUCUUUUGUCUAUAUUCUUCAACAGUCAUUGACUUUUGUUGUAAUCUUUGGAGCUUAUCCAUGAGUUCUCUAUUGUAAUAAGAGGGAAUGUGUCUCCUCCUAAGGGCAGUUUUGAGAUCAUUCCAAUAAUGAAUUGGAGGAUCUUAAUGCCUUAGUCUCUCUUGGAUUAGAGCAGUCCACCAAUACAUUGCAUACCCUUGAAAGCUUAGGGUAGCUAGAGAGACUUUCCUUUCCUCACUCACUUGGUGGCAAGCAAACAAUUGCUCCACCUUCAUCUCCCAAUCAAGAUAGGCCUCAACAUUAUCCUUACCAUGGAAAUGAGGCAACGUAACAUUGACUUCCUUAGGGGGUGGAGGAAUUUGGGUAUCCCGCCUAUCUCUUCUUGAAGAAGAGUGUUGGUGGUAAUAUUCUCUCACACUUAGGGGAAUUCCUCCCAUUUGAGAAUGGUCACUUUGACUUCCCCUACACCUAUCUCGACUUUGGUUAUUCUCCUCUCUCAUCAACCUCAACUGAUCUUGUAUCAUAGCAUUUUGAAGCUCUCUAUUGACUUUUUCUUGACUCAUUUUUCUUUCAAUUUCAUUGAGUUGGUUGACUAGAGUUUGGAGGGUCAAUUUCUCUUUUUGAUUUUCACUAUCACUAAUCCUAGGUGAGUGCCUUCUUGACAUUAUGAUGAACUUAAAGGUUUUCUUGAAAUACAGACUAAAGAUUUCACUUGCAAGCAAUAUUUCAAGUAAGAGAGGUAAACCGAAAAAGGUUGCUUAAGUACGAAGUCUUACCUUGCCAAAUAGGCUUCUAGCUACUUACUAGAAUCUUUAAAUAAAAAUCACUUUUAACUCCACCAAAAGUUUAAAGACAACAAGCAAGCGAAGAAAUAAAAACCUACACUUUAAGACGGACUUCUAAGGUCUCCUAAGCGCUUUUGCAAGAAAGUAAAAGAGUGAGAUCUUCUGGUGAGGCUUGGAACUUUGGAACCAAGACACACUCACCGUCUACCAAUUUUAGUUGUGCAAUAAAAGUCAAGUUUGCAAGUGAUGGAAGAACACUUGAAAUUCUUCCAACUCACUUGGUUAAUGGCCACUUACAAAGUCUUUUUACAAUUCAAAUGAAACAAAAAUACAAGUAAAUGGGUGUAGAUGUUGUGUGCAGCUUUGGCUUCUCACAAGGAAAGGUGAAUUUAACAUUUUCACACUAAUCUCUCAGCUGCAAAGUGAGGACCCUACUGCUGCACGAAAAUUCAACACCAGAAUUUUGCAGCUGCUACCGAGAAUUCUCUGCACGAAAGCCACACUUCAUGACUUGAUUCCUCGGUCUCUUGCCUUCCUUUGAUGCUUCCUUGUAUGUACGAAGUCUGAGCUAUAAUUGUUAAAUCCCUAGCAAGUGUACCAGAUCGUUAUCAAGUAAUAUAAAACGGGUAAGUCCGAGUAUCAUUUCCCAAAUGACUCUUAGGCCUUAACUUUCAUGUAAACCAAUCACAUAAGACUUGAGAAAAGAAUUAAAUUUAGGUUUUGUAUGCAAGACGAAAAUAAACAUGCAAAAUGCAGUGAAUAAAUUGGCUAGAAAAGACUAUGGAUGAAUGGAGUUGUUUGAAAUCCUACACUACUAGGCCCAUAAUACCAAGCCCAAAUAAAUUUAGACUACUUGGCCCAAAAUACAAAGCCCAAAUAAAAUCUAGACUUCUUGGCCCAAAAUACAAGGCCCAAAAUUAUUCUUACUCUACUAAAUCUUCAUGAUGACUUAAGAUGGCCCAAGAGAAAGAGUCUAGGCCCAUCUUCCAUAGAUGUCUCCAACUCUUCAUGAAUGUGCUAAGUCAUGGCAAGGGGUAUUCCAUCAUGCCCUCCCUCUUGAAAAAGGAUUUGCCCUCAAAUCUUCUUGUUCUUUUAUGACAAAAACCUUUUUCUUAUUAUUGGUCAAUUUGUGUAUCUUUCCACCAGGAUCAAAGAUCCAUAUGCAAGUGUCAUCAAACUCAAAACCAAUAAUCUUAUGAGCCACAAACAACAUGUAUCUAGAUGAAUGAUUUAAAUAAGACCUUAUGCUNNNNNNNNNNNNNNNNNNNNNNNNNNNNNNNNNNNNNNNNNNNNNNNNNNNNNNNNNNNNNNNNNNNNNNNNNNNNNNNNNNNNNNNNNNNNNNNNNNNNNNNNNNNNNNNNNNNNNNNNNNNNNNNNNNNNNNNNNNNNNNNNNNNNNNNNNNNNNNNNNNNNNNNNNNNNNNNNNNNNNNNNNNNNNNNNNNNGUAACAUCAACUCAAAGUUUGAUUUGGAAAAAUUUGAGGAGUUAAAAAUAGUGGGAGGUGAAAAAGAAGUUGAAAUUUCAAAAGUAAAAAAUGGAGCUAUGAAAGAUGGUUGGAUGUAUUGAGAAAAGUUCAAGUAUUGGAAAACUCCCCUCAUCAUCUUAGUCUUAACCUUAAUUGUGGAAGUGCUAGGGUGCUUUAGUAACUCUUCCUCUUCUUCUUUUAUCUCAAUCUCUUCUUUUUCUCUCUUUUCUUUCUCAUUCCUUUCUUUUAUCUUUCUCUCUUCAUACUUUCUUCUUCUUUCCUCCUCCUUUUUCUCUCUUCUUACUUCUCCUUUUUCUCUCUUCGUUCUUUCUUCCUUCUUUUGUCUUCCUCUCUUCUUCUCUUUAUUUUCCUUAAAUCCUUUUGGACUUUUUCUUGUUUUUCAUUAAGAAUAAUAAGCUCUUCUUCCAACUUAGCAAGAUACUCUUCUCUUUCAAUUCUUUCUUUUUCUUUAAGAAGAGUUUCUUGCCUUUGCCAAAUUUUAAGUGACUUUAGCUCUUUUGCUAAAUUUUUCAAAGUGGGUUUUACGUUGUCACUAGAGUCACUUCCAAUUUCAAAGGAAUUAGUCUUAGACAUCCUUAAAGGUUUUCAAAAAUAUGCAAUGCAACAAACAAAUACUUAAAUUUCAAAGAAAGUUCCUUAAGAGAUUUAAGGAGGGAAAAGACACCCAAGUUCACUUCUAGGAAAGGGAGAUGAAUCACAAUGGAUUUCUUAAAUACCAAACCUUUCCCAGCCAAAGCUUACCUUAGACACUCUUGAACCAAAUUUCUCAAAGGGAACUAAAUUUGAAAUUAAAGUUGACACACACUAAACUAUCACAAUUAAAGAAAGCAAAUAAACUAGCAACGCGACCUAAUGAUUAAGUUAGAAGAACUUUGGUUCCUCCGACCAACCAACUAAAAACGAAAAUUACUAAUAAAUAAAGGUUCUUGUUAGGAGAUGGGAUUGAGCACCAAAGACUCCCCCAAGACACCUAACAAGGCCGUGAAUUACAAGAGAGAAAAAAAAAAAAGAAAGAUUACAAAGCCAAAAAAAGAACAAAAAUUUACAACCAAAUCAAAGCUUCCUCCCAAAAGUGUUUCUCUCCUUUCUUUUGGCUACCACUCUAGACUUCAAGCUCCCUUUGGGUCUCCACCACCUAGAAGGCUACCUCUAAGAUAUUGGAUCACCUCACAAAGAGAACCUACACCACACAAAGUAACCAAAGCCGAAAUUGUGCAAGAAGAAACAAGGGAUAAAAGCAAUAAAAAGGUCCAAAAACAAGAAAGGCUUUGCAAAAGGAAUUUAAUUAUGACAAAACUAAGAAAUCCAAGAGACAAGCAAGAAAUUAAAGGUUAAGAAACAAAGGUUAGCACUCAAAAGAAAUCCUAACGAAAGGUUCUAGAGUAGAUUCACAAAACAAAAACUACUAGAAGAAAAGUGGGUGGUUCUUGUCUUUUGGCAACUUUGAGCAAAUGGGGCACUAAGGCCACUCUUUUAGCAUCAUAGCCAAGACUUUUAGCCACUGGAAAGUGAAGAUAAAUACCCAAAACAGUGAGCAAAACACGUUCCAAAACAGAUUGCACAAAAACAAUGGUAGUGGUCUAAGCACACAAUAUGUUUUUUCAGCACUUUUUAGGCUCUCUUUUGGUACUCUUUUGAGGCCUUUUGCUUAAAAGUUUUUAGCACUUCUUUUUCCACUCUUUUAAGGUGCAAAAUAAGACCAUCACACAUUUGGAACAGAGGUGAUUUAUGGGUUUUAAAAGUCACAAAGACAAGAAACACAAAAUAGAAAAGAAUCCUACUAUAAUCAAAAAUGGAGUUGAAAACUAGAAACAUCAAUAGGGAAUUUUUUUUUUUAAGAGCUUGCCAAUGAUCUAAUGGCAAGUAUGAACCCAAAACAUCAAAUAUAAGACCCUCAAAUAGUUGUAUAUGGUGCAAUUUUUCAAACUAUGUUAUAUAUUUUUUUUGAUGAUUUUUCAAAGUUACCUGAGAAAAUUGACAAGAAAAGAACUACACAUGACUCUAGACAAACAUGGAUGGAUUAAAAAAUUAAAAUGACUCAAUCAAUGAAAUGCACCAAAUAUAAAUCAAUAAAAGACCCAAAAAAACAGUAAGGAAUGACUCAAAAAAAAGAAAAGGCACAAAACAGUAGCCAAACUAACAAAACAUAACAUGGAAAACGCUAAUGACAGCAUUCUGGCAGCAUUGACCUUUGCUGAGUGUUUUACUAGUAACUUUCUCUACAGAAGUCCAAAUGAAUUGAGAUUUUUUGUGUGUGAAACUAGACUCAAAGGGCUUUCAUUUGAGUAUUUUUACGAAUUUUUUGGACAACUGGGCUAGAUGCAGUUUAAGUUUCAAAAUCGUCCUAUUUUACUUCCAGAAAAACAAAAUGAUGGAAAAAGAAAACACAACAAGACAAGUAAGGAAAACAAUAAACAACAAGAAAAUAACAAAGGAUCAAAACCAAGAAACUUAGCUCUUUGAAGAACCAAGGCUCUUGAUACCAAAUGAUGGAAAAUGCUCUAGCUAGGACAAGGCAAAUCUAGAAGCAAAUCAAGCCAUAAGUUCAUGAACGAAGAUUGCGGAAUUUGGUCACUAGUGCAGAAUUGGCUUUUAACGUCACCCCUUAGACGUCAAUUAAGCGGGAAUCCGACGUAAAUUAAUGACCGGUGGCACUUUCGUAAAUAAGUUGUCAAUAUAGACAUCAGUUAAGAGGGUCCCGACGUCUAUAAUAUGAUAGACAUCGGCUCCCCCGAAAAGACGUCAAAACUAAACGAAAAAGUUAAUAAAAAAUAAUUUUUUAUUCUAUUUAGACGUCUGUUAUGGGGGGAACUGACUUCUAAAGCACUUUAGAUGUCUGUUAUUGUGGGAACCGACGUCUAAACCCUAAACUCAAAAAUUUAAAAAGUCAUUUUUUGGCUCCAUAGAGACGUCUGAUCCCGCCAAUCCGACUUCUAAAGCACUUUAGACGUCUGUUAUUGGGGGAACCGACCUCUAAACCCUAAAUCCAAAAAUUUAUAAAGACACUUUUUGGCUCCAUAUAGAUGUCUGAUCCCGCCAAUCCGACUUCUAAAGCACUUUAGACGUCUGUUAUAGGGGGAACCGACGUCUAAACCCUAAACCCAGAAAUUUGAAAAGUCACUUUUUGACUUCAUUUAGACGUCUGUUAUGGGUGGAAACCGACUUCUAAAGCCCUUUAGACGUCUGUUAUAGGGGAACCGACUUCUAAAUUUCGGCAUUAAAACAUCGUGAUCGCGAGGCAGUCGUUACGCGCACUCAUUGUUCAUCAUCUUCGUCGCGUUUUCUCUCUAUGGGUUACACUUUUCAGGUUCGUUUUCUCACUUUUGCUCCGUUUUAAAUUAGUUUUACUCUGAUUACAUAACUCUUUGAUGCAUUAUCUUUCAUUUGAACCGAUUAAAAUGCGUUUUUGUUGGGUUUUGAUGCAGUUAUUCGUCGCAUUUUCUCUCUACGGGUUACGCUGUUUAGGUUCGUUUUCUCACUUUUGCACCGUUUUAAAUUAGUUUUACUCCGAUUACAUCACUCUUUUAUGCAUUAUCUUUCAUUUGAACUGAUUAAAAUGCGUUUUCGUUGGGUUUUGGUGCAGUUAUUCUCGUGUGCUUGGGCAGCGUUCUUUGGCGGCGAUUUCUUGCGUCUUGCACUCUACAAUUCCCUCUACUAGGUUUUUAAAACCAUCCAAUAAAAAAAAUAUACAAUACAUUCUCUUCAACUAAAAUAAAAUUAUAAACUCGAAUUAUCAUUAGUCAGGAGCAACCUGAAAGACGUCUGACUUGUAUGGAUCGGACGUCUAUAUAGACGUCUGACCUAUAUAGGUCUGACGUCUAUAUAGACGUCUGUCAUUACCUAACUGAUACAAAGUAACAUCACUGGAAUAGACGUCGGAUACGAAACUGACGUUAAAAACUCAAAUUAACCGAUGUUAAACAGCGUUUUUGCACUAGUGGGUGGUGGUGAAAGGUGUUGAUAGCUCAUGGUUUUGAUGAGUUGUAUGCUGAUGGAAGGUGUGUUUAAAGGUUCCCUAAGAGAGGUUGGGCCAACUCUUGGAGGAAGGUGGCUAGAGGAGGCCACUUGGGUUGCUCUAGGCUAGGGUGACCUUAAAAGAGUAGUAUGGCACAAAAAUGACAGCAUAACUUUACUCUAAAUCAAAGGUGAUUACAUGAUAGAGAACACCUCUAUUUAUAGGCUAAGGUGUCUCAAAAAUGGGCUAAAACUUUAACCUAAAAGAGCCACCUUGGCUGUCUUGGAGAGCAAGGAGAAAUCCUCUCUAAUAGGAGGGAGACAAGUGGCAAAAAUCCUCUCAAAUGAGAGAGUGACAUGUGGCCACUACCUAUGGAAAAACNCUCCAUUCCUAAAGUGACACAUGGCCACUAACUAGGAGGAAAACUCUCCAAUGGGAAGCUUCCACAUGUGUAGGAUGAAAUUAUCCUCCCUUGUUCUCCAAGCUUAGCCAAAAUGUUGACCCUUUGGUCAACAUAUCCAUUUUGGAGGUCCAAGCAUAGUCAACUUUGGGCCUUGACCCUUUGUUGACUUGUUUGGUCAAAAUCCUAUUCUACUUGGCCCAAAAUACAAGGCCCAAUUGAAAUCCUACACUACUAGGCCCAUAAUACCAAGCCCAAAUAAAUCUAGACUAGUUGGCCCAAAAUACAAAGCCCAAAUAAAAUCUGGACUACUUAGCCCAAAAUACAAGGCCCAAAAUUAUUCUUACUCUACUAAAUCUUCAUGAUGACUUAAGAUGGCCCAAGAGAAAGAGUCCAGGCCCAUCUUCCAUAGAUGUCUCCAACUCUUCAUGAAUGUGCUAGGUCAUUGCAAGGGGUAUUCCAUCAAUAUAUCAGUGAAAACUCUGGAGCUCAAUACCUCACACAACAUGCUUUCUCACACAUCAUUCAUACAUUCUGCUUAGCAUCAUAAUCACAAUCAUAAAUCACCACACAUUUGUUCACAUAGUUAGUGAACCAUUCACCUAGAUAUCAACAUGCACACAGUCUCAAUCAUCAACCACAUUUAAUCAUCAUCAAAUAACUCAUCAUGCAAUAUAAUCAUCAAACCAUCAUCAUAACCAGUGUACAAGCCAGACAUAGACACAAAAAUAAAAUUCAACCUAUUCUACAAAUCCAAAGUACAAAAGGAAAAGAAAAAGAAAACCCCUGUCCAAGUGCUGGCAUCCAUCAGUAGAUGCCUUAUCAGUCCAUGUCCUCAUCUGAGUUGUACUCAUCACCCUCUUGUGCAUCCUUAAAAUCAUCAUCCUCCUGGUCAUCCUCAUCUCUACCUGGUGCUCCAGCUGCUCCAGACCCGUUGCCCUGUUCCUACUCCUGAGGCCAAGCCAUCGUACUAUAGAACUCAUCCAUAGUCCACCUGUGCACUGGUGGCGUGUCAUACAAUCCUAUAAUCCUCUCUGCAGUAGCUACCUGCCCUCUGCGUAGAGACUCCAUACUAUUCUCCAUGAUGGACAUAUACAUGUCCAUCAUCUGGAAAGGCUCAGCGUGUUGUGCUGGUGCAUUUGCAGGUGCAUCCUCCUGCUGAAUUGUUGCUCUCCUAGGACGUCUCCUAGGAACUGCUCCGGCUGGCUCGUCACCUCCACAAAACUGACAAUAAUAGGAGGCAUCAAUAGCCCUCCUCGACCUCUCAUAAGGUGGAACUGCAGUAUCCAUCCCUGCCUGCUGGCACAGGUAUGUAAUCAGGGACGGAUGUCCCAACGGUGUCCUACUAUUAACAGUAGUAGCGCAUCUUUGAAUCUCGUUGGCAAUAAUCUCACCAACGUUAACAUCCAUCUGCAUCAACAUGCAGUAGAUGAAGAGAAUCUGGUGCAUAGUGAUGUCAGAGACAUGGGAGCAUGGUUGUAUGUUGGCAUGAGUGAAUGUCAUCCAAUACUUUGCUAGGGGAGUCAAAUCUACCCUAAUGAAGUUGACUGGCGCUCCAUUAGGGUUGCUCUGAAAGUGUCUCCCAGGGAUGCACAUCACCUUCUCGAUGUCCUCAUAAUCCCUGUAUUCCCCUGUAAGAGCAGCAUACCUACACUGCUCUCCUGGCCAUUUAGUACCUAGAAAGCUGUUGAUGGUGUCGGGGUCGUAUCUCAUGAUCUGCCCCCUCACGUAGCUCAUGUACCUCCCUGCUGAUACUCCUCUUCUGGGAAAGGCGUUAGCAUAAAAUUCCUUCACCAGCUCAAUGCUAGCUGGUGCAGGAUAGGUGGUCAAUCUCUCCCAGCCUCGCCUUUCUAUCUCUAGUCCAAACUCUGGAGUUAAAUAUGGAAUGUACAUGGCCUUCCUCUCCAUCAAUAAACGCCUCUCUUGUAUAGUCACGUAAUGCUCUUCAUGCUUCUUAGAAAGGAACCGAGAAGAAUAAAAUCUUCUUGGCCUUUCUAGCUCCUUUCUCUUGUUGCCAAUGGUCUUCACUCUUCUUGAGGAUGACAUUCCUGUAUCAAAUAAAUCCAAUAACAUCAUAGAAAUUCGUCACUAGAGGUUAGUAAAUCAUCAAUUACAUUUCCAGAACAACCACAAUCCAGUACUGAGGGAAAAACAGGGCCUCUCAGCGUCCAAGCAUCUCAAUCUGAUGAAUUCUGCUCAGCGGUUCAAACAGUCCGCUCAGCGGUUUUCAACUGGGUUUUUCAAAAACUCACUAUCAACAGUCAUAAUCUCCACUCUAACACUAAAUCCAUAAUUCCAUACCAAAUUUAUGCAAUUCAAUUGGUUCAAACAGUUUCUAUUUCAUCAAAUCAUGCAUAGAAAACAAAAGCCCUAAUUUAUCAUGUUCCUAAGAAUGUUCUUCAUCCAUUUUCAAAUAGAAACCCUAAGAAUGAAAUUGCACAACUUACUUGAGUGGAGAUUUAAGAUGCUUGCUAGACUUCCUUCUAAUUGAUGAUGAAUGCUCUCUCCAAUGCACAACCCUCAACCAAAAAACCCCAAACUUUAACAAGAUAAUGGUAGAAAAUUGAGAUUUUUGUGAGUGGGUGAUGGAAAAAGUGAGGAAAUAUCUUUAAAAAGCUCUUGAAAGUUAAAGAGAAGUAUUAGGGCUUAAGGAGACCGCUUGGGCGAACUACAAAGAAGAGGUUUUAAAGUGCAAAACCUAAAAAUUUCUCAGUUUUUAACAAAACCCGAGCUGGUAUACGCCGCUACCGCUCAGCAGUUUGGUGAUAAUUUUCUUCCUCUCUUCUUUGCUUGCUUUUGAGCAAUCUCACCCUGUAAUACUUAAUUUCAAUCUUCAUUUUUUCAAUCACAUGUCUUUCCCCUCUCAAAUGCAACAUUCAAACAUGCAAUACAUUUAACACAGAAUUAAAAACAGAAAUAAUCAAUUGGGUUGCCUCCCAGGUAACGCUUGUUUAACGUCACGAGCUUGACCCAAACCUGUCUAGCACUCAUCAGUAAGUGCCUCCUUACCAACACCCAUCAGUAGGUGUACCUUCCUAGUAUCCUUCAGUGGAUACCUAAAUCUUUAGCAUCCCUCAGUAGAUGUUACCCAAAAAUGUUUAAAAAUCCAAAGAGUUACAUGCCCAAAAUAAACCUAAAACUACAAAUGUUUUACAGAAAUUGGGAUUUAAUAAGAUAACAUCAUGUCUUCCCAUCCUGGCUGGGAUUUUUAUCUACCCAACUCAUCAGUUUCUUUUGUUCACUCUUCUUAUGGCUUUGGUGUAAGGUCUUCUAAUCUCCAUUACUUCAUCUUCUUUAAUCUUGUUCACAAUCCACUUUCUAUUCUUGAAUCUUACCUGUGAACCACGUGGAAGUGAUGUAUCUUCUGAGUGGAUUGUUCCUCCUUUAUCAACCUCUUCAUCUUUAGGUACCUGUAAAACAUUACAACUGUCAGUAUCAGUACCUGUUGUGCUAUCUUCAGAUGCAACAUCUCUUCUUGUCUUUUUAUGUCUGGCUCUCUUUCUAACUCUAACAUUAUUCUCUUUAGAACCAAUAUAUAAUAGCACAUGUUCAUGGUCCCUCAUCAUGAUUCUUCCAUCAUGGACACUAAUAAACAUCUUUGAAGUUUCCAUGAAAGGUCUUCCAAGAAUCAUUGGAAUCCUUUCAUCACUUUCCAUGCCCAUAACUAUGAAAUCAACCGAGAAAUCUAGCUGCUCCACACGCACAGUCACAUUCUCCACCAUACCAAGUGGAUCUUUUGUAGAGCCAUAAGCCACCGUCAUAGUAAGAUUAGACGGUUUUAAUACUAGCCCUCCAAUUUUCUUCAAGAAACGCUUAGGCAUCAUAUUAAUGCUAGAUCCAAAAUCUAUCAUGGCUCCUCCUACAUUAACACCAUUCACAACGCAUGAAAGAGUCAAACAACCUGGAUAUUUUACCUUAGGCGUAUAAUUCUUCUUUUGAGGUUGAAUAUCAAAUUCCUGCUCCUCUUCAUCAAGAUCUAUUAUAUCUCCAAAAUAAAAUUUUAUUCUUUCAGAAUAUGCAAGAAUCUCUUGGAUCACUGAAGGCACUACAGUCACCUGGUUAAAAAUUUCUCUAGACUGCCCAUUGUGACCGUCUCUUACUUCCUCUUCUUCCUCACCUUCAUUAUUGUCUAGCUCAAUAAUUUCUUUUUCCUCUUCUUCAUCUUCACUACUCCCAAUUUCCACAACUUCCUUGUCCACUUUCCUUUUGCUCCUAGUAACAACAGCUUUGCACUCCUCUUUAGGGUUAACAUUAGUAUUAGUCCUAAAUUGGUUCUUCUCAGUGGUUUCUACCCUCUUUGAUAGCUGACCAAUUUGCAUCUCCAAGGAUCUAAAACUGGCUUGGUCACUUGCAUGAUUAGACUCAUAAACCUUCAAGAAUUUGUCAAAUCUAUUAUUUAGGUCUCUAACAGUCUCUGACAGUCUCUAUCAAGUGAUUAACCUGCUCCCACAAAGGCAAUGGUUGUUGCGGUCGGAAGCCUCCUGAUUGUCCAGAUGAGUUAUUCUGGGGUUGUCCAAUACUAGGAUGGCUCUUCCAACCUUGGCUAGAGUUGCCUUGGUUGAAGUUCCCCUGCCUAUACUGAAACUGAUUCCCCAUAUAGUUUGCUUCCUGCUACAUCUCCUCUGGUAUAGCACAUUGACCAUUGAUAUGGUCACCACUACAGAAAUCACAAAGUUGUUGCUCUUGGGAGAUAUUAUGAAUCUCCUUAGGAAGUUGUGAUAAGAUUUUCGUCAAGUUAUCUAGCUUUUGAGUCAGAGGAUGAUUCUGAGCUAAUAUAGCAUCAUCUGCAAGCAAGUGCAAGACUCCCCUCUUCUAAACAUGUGCGCCCCUUUCACUGUAAGUUUCCUGCUCACUAGUAGUCAUACUCUCAAUCAAGUCAUAGGCUUCAUCCUUAGUCUUCUUCUUGAUAUCACCUCCAGUUGAGGCGUCCAACAUCAUCUUAGAUUGCGUGUUCAGACCUCCUAGGUAAGCAAGAUAUAUAAUAGUCUUGUCAAAACCGUGAAUUGGUGUCUUCCUCAAUAAGCCCUUGAAUCUUUCCCAGGCUUGACCAAGAGUCUCCUUCAUGCCCUGUUUGAAUGAUGAUAUCUCCAGCCUUCCCUGAGUAACUUUAAACUGUGGAAAAUAUUUAUUGACAAACUUAGUUGCCACAGUCUCCUAUGUAGUGAAUGUUCCUUCAGGAAAAGAAUUCAACCAUGUCUUAGCACUGCCUCCCAAUGAGAAUGGAAACAAGCAAAGCUUUACUCGUUCAUCUGGCACUCCCGUCAUCUUCACAGUGUUACAGAUUUCACUAAACGUUGUCAAAUGGUCAUAUGGGUUCUCAUUUGACAAGCCGUGAAACUGGUUUCCUGACACCAGAUGGAUAAGCGCUGGAUUCAUCACCAUGUUAGUCGUAUGAUAUGUUGGCAUGGCUAUGCUGUUGAAGUGGAAAGGGCCAACAACAUUAGAUUGAUCUACUGGAGUGCGUCUUGGAGGAGGAUGUUCUACUGCCAUCUCCUAUGCUCUUUGAUCUGGUGAAGGUGACAAUAAUCUAUCAGGAGAGGGAAACAACUCCCUAGAUGGGCGUCUUACUCUCCUUCCCCUUGUUUCACUCAAGCUUUCAAGAAGAGGUUGCGUAUUUUUCUUGCUCCUAGUAUGUCUAGUCUCCUGCAUGCACAAGAAACAAAAACCCUAGUAACACUUUUAUAUAAAAAUAAAACAAAAAUAAAACAAAAACAAAAUAUAUACAAUCAAGUCAAAUUAAAUCAAUUUACACUACUAGAUAAGUUAAACCACGAGUCCCCGGAAACGACGCCAAAAACUUGUUAAAUCCCUAGCAAGUGUACCAAAUCGUUAUCAAGUAAUAUAAAACGGGUAAGUCCGAGUAUCGUUUCCUAAAGGACUCUUAGGCCUUAACUUUCAUGUAAACUAAUCGCAUAAGACUUGAGAAAAGAAUUAAAUUUAGGUUUUGUAUGCAAGACUAAAAUAAACAUGCAAAAUGUAGUGAAUCAAUUGGCUAGAAAAAGACUAUGGAUGAAUGGAGUUGUUGGGGUUUACAAUUUCAUCUUAUCCACCCUCUUAUAUCUACUCUUCUUAUCUAAUUCGCUGAUUUAUCAUAUUGUCAUGCAAACUUCGCUGAUUUAUCAUAUUGUCAUGCAAACUUUCUUAGUCUACCCUAAACCCAAUCUCUUGGCAAAAAGAGCCUAUUACUAAUUAUUGGCUUGCUAUCUCUAGCCUCCCAUAGUAACUAAUAAUGCAUGAUAAACGGAAGCAAAAUAUAAUUGAUCGUCCUACCCAUAUCUCUAGGUGGUAUUAGAAUAAUCAAGGAAUUCCCCCCAGUUCAUGACAUUACUGUACAUCUCCGUAUCAAUAAAGACAAACAACAUUUACCGAAUGAGUUAAACGAUAAAAGCAUAAAGCAAAGGAAAGGAACCCAACAAUUGAUAAGAUAAGCAUAUAAAGAAGAUAAGAAUUUUGAUAUAAGAGAGUUUCAAAAGAUUACAUUGUUCCUCAACAACCUAGGGUUUAGUUCACCAUGGACAUGGUGAAUCUAGAUGGAAAAUAAUGGAAGAAUAAACCCUAAAUUUGGUAUAUUGGAGCCUAAGCAUCCAAGGAACCUCCUCCAAGGUGUGUAGAACUGCUCUGGACUUCUCUGUCUGCCAAAAGAUUACAAUUUGAAUCGCACUGGGUUUAUUUAUAAACCAAAAAAAUAACAAAAUUGAAGCCCAAUAAAAACAGAAAACUGUUCAAUGCCUAAUUAGACCGCUCAGCAAUUUUCCUCUAGUCGCGCCACCGCUUAGCGAUCAGUUUUACCGCUGAGCGGUUUGCCUCCAAUCACUCAAGCCGCUCAGCGUUGGUUUUGGGCGCUCAGCGGUUCAUAGACUCUUCUUUUCUUCCUUUUUCUUCUUCCUUCUUGAGUCUAAGUCCGUCCUAAUUCACUUCCAUCUUCAAUUCUCAUCAAAACUCUGCAAAACAUUGCAAAAACAAGCAUAAUAUCUCUAAAACCAACUUUUGACUCUCUCAUGAUUCAACGAAGUGUUUUACUUGAUUUUAAGCUCAUUCUAAGCCACAAAGGGUGUGUUUUGAUAUCAUAUUUACACAUGAAAAUAACGGUUUUUAUACCGUUAUCAAUAAUACACCUACACAGCAAACUAGUUUAGCACUCGUAUAACCUGUUAUACUGCCCGAAAAAUACAGCCAAAAUGAUAGCAACAUAGAACCUUUUGUCAAACAGGUUGUGUGUAGGAUGUCCAAUAACUUCAAAAGCAAUGAUUUAAUCAGUUACAAAUAAGGAGGCACGUCAAAAUGAUCCUAGGAAGAGUUCUAGAGUAGAUUAGAAAAGCAAUGAAAGUUCACGAAUUAAAAUUGGAUCAAAAUAGUUGUACACUGCAAAUUUCACAAACUGUUUGUGAUAUUGCCUCAAAGAACAUUCAAUUUAUGAUGCAGACUUGUUAAUUUCAGAUUUGACAGACUUCACAAUUGGAUGCACUGGUUCGUUCAACUUUUUACUAUUAUUGCAGUAUCUUUUGAAUAUUGUCAAUUGUGUUUUAUGGACCAAAGCUUUUACUACAUCCACAAUUAAUAUCUGAAACACCAAUUUUCAGUUGAAGAUUGAAAUUUCUAAUGUAGCAGCUAUGUUUUUGAACCAGAAAUGACCCAAAAUUUGGACAAGUCAUAUAUGGAAUUUGCAUAGAGCAGUGUAUGGUCAAUUUAGACUUUUACAAACAUGUUUGAUUGAUGAAAACAAACUUAUUUGAACACACUUUCAGAUCAGAUUCAGCCUAACAAACCAUUUGAGUGAUGCAGUUCUGAUGCAUUCCGAUAUAAGCAACUAUAGCAUCUAAAUUUUAGGAAUGAAUUUCAAUCAGCUGUAAAACGAUUGAAAUAAAUUUAAGAUAGCAAAAGAAAGUUGCUCAAAGUAGCAGAAUGUUAAUUUGGAUGAUUAACGAUGAUUUAGGUGCUCAACCAAAUUAACACGCAGAAAUCACUUAACAAAGCACGUGUAGUUCGGUUUACUGCCAAUUCAAGUCUAUCUGACUUUUGCAAUGACAAUUUCACAUUCAGAAAAUGUUCAUUAUAGACUAGCUAUUAUUUAAACAGUGGUACUUAUGUAGAAUAGCAAGUCACAUAAGAAAUCAGGCAAUGGAACAAUGAUUGCAUAUGUUCAAAACAGCAUCAGCCACACAACUCUACUGUCGCAACCGAUUUCGCGACGGGACGACGAUCCAAAAAGAAAACAAUUUUGAAAAAGAGUUUUGGAGUCACCACCAUAGUUUAUUCUGGAAAACUACGAAAAAAGCAUAAAAUGAUAAAGCACGGUCCACGAAAACCAAAGAUAGGGUUCAGGAGUCGGUUACGUGUAGGGAAGGUAUUAGUACCUUUAAUUAAAAUACGCGAAUAAAGAUGUGGUUUGCAAAAUGUUUAACUAUCGCAAAAAAUAAAACUCUAAAGAAACAAAAUAUAUUUUUUUUAUUUUUUGUGCCCGACAAGGAUUGACCUUGCUCUUACAUAUUCUCAAAGUGAGAAAUCAGGGUUACGUAGUUCUAGCUGAAAGAUAGUUCGUUUUAAGAUGUUUUUAGUUUUUGAAGAUUUUUAUAUUUUUUUGGUAUUUUAUAUAUAAGAAAGAGAAAAGGUUUUCAACACAAGGUAGACAGAAUGGUCGCACGUGUGCUUAAACCUUUAAAAAUAAAUUUUGUUGAUUUUUUUUAAAAGAAGAAGAAAAAGAAAAAAAAAAGUUUUUAGCACAAGGCAGACAGAAUGGUCGCACGUGUGCUUAAACCUUUUNNNNNNNNNNNNNNNNNNNNNNNNNNNNNNNNNNNNNNNNNNNNNNNNNNNNNNNNNNNNNNNNNNNNNNNNNNNNNNNNNNNNNNNNNNNNNNNNNNNNNNNNNNNNNNNNNNNNNNNNNNNNNNNNNNNNNNNNNNNNNNNNNNNNNNNNNNNNNNNNNNNNNNNNNNNNNNNNNNNNNNNNNNNNNNNNNNNNNNNNNNNNNNNNNNNNNNNNNNNNNNNNNNNNNNNNNNNNNNNNNNNNNNNNNNNNNNNNNNNNNNNNNNNNNNNNNNNNNNNNNNNNNNNNNNNNNNNNNNNNNNNNNNNNNNNNNNNNNNNNNNNNNNNNNNNNNNNNNNNNNNNNNNNNNNUUUUAGCACAAGGCAGACAGAAUGGUCGCACGUGUGCUUAAACCUUUUGAAAUAAUUUUUUGGUUGAUUUUUUUGAAAGUAGAAGAAGAAAAAGGCUUUUUAGCAUAAGGCAGACAGAAUGGUCGCACGUGUGCUUAAACCUUUAAGAUAAAUUUUCGUUAAUUUUUAUUGACGAAGAAGAUGAAAAAGGUUUUUAGCACAAGGCAGACAGAAUGGUCACACGUGUGCUUAAACCUUUUAAAAUAAUUUUAUAAAAGAAAGAGGAAAGGUUUUCAGCACAAGGCAGACAGAAUGGUCGCACGUGUACUUAAACCUUUUAAAAUAAUUUUUGGUUAAUUUUUUGAACGAAGACGAUGAAAAAGGUUGUUAACACAAGGCAGACAGAAUGGUCGCACGUGUGCUUAAACCUUUUAAAAAUGAUUUUAUAGAAGAAAGAGAAAAGGUUUUCAGCACAAGGCAGAUAGAAUAGUCGCAUGUGCGCUUAACCCUUUUAAAAUAAAUUUUUAUUUUCUAAAAAUGUUUUCAAAAUUUUUUAUUACUUCUUCUCAAUAUAAAAAUAUAACAAUAUUUAGGUGAAUAGGUAGAUAAAGUACAUAACGUGAGGGUAGGACUAGUAACUAUGGGAGUGCACAAAAGAAAGCUAGGCAAGCAUACAACAUAUAGUAAAAAACAGGGGUGCACCAAGUAAUUAAAGGAAAAAAAGGUUGCAGAAAUGGAAAAGGGCUUAAGCCCAGAACACACAAAAUGAAUACGAGGGUGUCAAGAUGAGGAAUGGGAGUGCGGAUGAGAAAUGGGGGAGCGGAUAGAACGGUUUUAUUAUUCCUUUUUGGUUGAUUCGCAAAGUGGGCUAGAGCCUAAGGAGAAAAGGGUUGCGGAUGGAGGCGAAGGAGGUGUGAUAAAAAGAAUAGCCCAGGCGUCCUGGCCAAGGCCUUUUCCUAACCUAGAAACCUAAGGGGGUUCGAAACUCUUCAUCCCAUUCUGCACUUCGCCACUUCAGAGACCUCCCACCCCUCUCUCCCGCACCACUUACGCAGAGUUGGGAUCGCACAUUACCACCCUCAUCUAACGACCACCACGUCACCAUCGUGUCCCCACCCAGUGUCACCGGCGUCAGCCACCAACCGGCCAGUCGCCGCAGACUGAGACUUCGCCCCCUUUCUCUACUCGCCCAUUUAGGGUUGUGGGCGCGCCUCAUAUGCGCCGCUGCUCCUAUGCCAUGGCCACUGCGUCCCCGUCGCUGCCGUCGUGCGCAACCACCGCAAGUCGCCAUUUGUCGCGCAGUCAGGGAUGCCACGAUACGACUCUUCUUCGCGCGCGAGAAGCUCUCACCCUCCUCCGUUCGAACACUGCUUGAGCGAGCCCAAACGUCGCCUUCAUGAACCAGGGUCGCGCCGGCACGCGAAUCGCCACCGGAGCUGCCGUCAUUCGACCCAUGGCGUCGCCGACGACACCCGUCACGAACAGGACAUGUCCACGCGUAAGAGGGGAGGACCGUAGCUCCACCGAGACGAGUCUCCACCACCACGGACGAAAUCAACAACCGUCGACGAAGAUGGCCACCGCUGCCCUUGCCGGAGUUCGCUUCCUCACCGGCGCCACCAGCGUCACCCUCUUCCCUCUCCAUUCGAGGAAUUCUUACUUGUCUCCUAAACGCCAAAAAAAUCCCAGCAACCCUCACCGCCACUGUCGAGGACGAAGGCAUUUUUUCUUGUUUUAUUUAGUUAAUUUAUCUAUCAAUUGAUGUUUUGGUUUACUGGGAUUGGAAACAUUGGAGUGUAUGUUGGGCGCUAGAAAUUGGUGUUUGUUCUUGGUGAUUGGUUUUCUGGUUUUCUGGUGACAAUACUUAGAGUUCCAUAUGAUGGAGGGGAAUGGCAGGUUCUGUAUCUGUAUGUAGGUUUGUGGCAAGGCUUUGUUUUCUAGGUAUAAGCAAAUGACAUUGAAACCCGAUGCUUGAAGAGUAUACAUUUAUUUCCUAUUGUCAUUUAUCUGAUGAAUUUUGUUGGCCUUGAAAAUAUAUUUUUGAUGCAGUUUUGAUUAACACAGUACGCCAUGAAGAAAACGAAGGUAACUAUGCGCACUGAUGAAAGAUCAUUCAUCCAUAUCCAGAGAAGACAGACCCAACUAUAUGCACUCAUUAAAUACCAUUCAUUCAUAUCCGGACAUAACAGAGAGCAUGCAUUCAUAUAAAACUAAGAGCUUAGAUAUGGAGCCUUACCUUCGCAGCUUUAAAAGCACCGGUGAAAGGAGCUGACGAAAGCGAAUGGUCUUCCCCUCCUCUGGCCGUGAGGUCCCUUCCUACCAGGUAGUGAUGAUCAAUGAUGGUCUAGAGUUUCCAAUCUUGGUGAUGGUAAGGUUUUUUCGGAUGAAUAACGUCGUCCUUUUGUUUUCUCGCAAUGGUGAAUAAUAAUCCUCAAUUCCCUCCAGCCUGGUAAAGGAAAUCCGAUCCCUGAAUAAUCAAUCUCGUCCCCUUUUAGAAAACUAAUUUCCAUCCCAAGAAAAAUGUUCCUCUAUUUCCCUUCUGGAUAAUCCGGGCGUAUCCCCCAAGGAUUUCUUCCUUAUUUCUUUCUUCCUUUUAUGUUUCAAUUGGAUCAAUUAAGGAAACAAUUUGAAUAUCCUUCCCUCUUUGGUAAUUUAUUGCAGCUAAUUAGUAUUCGAUUGCAGCUAAUUGGUAUCUGAUUGCACCAGUCUGUAAAUAUUUUCCUCAUGUGGAUCGUGAUAUUUUGCAGAAAGAGAACCAAUCU
rnacentral:lncRNA from 1 species